CCCCCACCUUCUCUUCUCCUCCCAGCUUCUCUAUCAAGGAAUGAUGUACUCAGACUGUGAAUAAAUGCGAGUGACCCCCAUCUGCCCACCCCCACUUCCCAGAGCCUUCUGCUGGAGAAGGGGGUGGGGGAGGGAGGACAGAGAGAGAGGGAGAGAGAGAGCGAGAGAGGGAGAGAGAGAGAGAGAGAGAGAGAGACAGAGGGAGAGAGGCAGAGGGAGAAAGGUACAAGAGAGAGAAGGGAAGAGAGAGAGGGAGAUAGAGCGAAAAAGGAGGGUCCCCGACUUCCUCACAGACCUCGGAAUGGGAAGGACUGAGUUUCAUCUUCAGCCCGUUGGUGGUCAUAUUUUCCUGCGGUGGCUGACACACUCAGGAGGCGUGGGAUAGAAGGUGACAGCUUCUGCUACUCGGUGUCCCUGCAGUUGCCAGCCUCCCAGGGACUCUGCUCACCUAGGAAGCCCACUGAAUAACAGGUUUUUUCAAGAGAGAAAGAAAGAAAACAGAUCCCCUAUAAAUGAGGACAACUUUGACUCGUAAACAGUUCAUGCGCUCAGAGAGGAAAGGCACCUGGUACUUUCUAAAGGAAAGCACCUCCAAAUACCAGCACCAUGUGGUGGGAGGGCAAUGCUUUGCCUUAUCAAAUGGUACUGAAGCUUGAGGUCUGUUUCUACCACCACGCCUGGAGUAACUGUCAGGGCCUCUUAUUUCUCAUAGCCAAAGCAGAUGGGGGACAAGUCGAUUAAACACAGAAAGCUGCAGUGCUGUUAUUAAGCAGUAUCAGCACGGCAAUGACGGCUGGAGGGACCACGGUGAAGGGCGAAACCUAAACCUCCAAGGAUGGGCUCUGCAUUCACCUAAAGCCCCUCCCCCCACACGCACAUACACAGAAGAAAAUGACUCUUUUUUUUUUUUUUUUUUUUUUUGAGACAGUCUCACUCUGUUGUGCAGGCUAGAGUUCAGUGGCACCAUGUCGGCUCACUACAACCUCUGCCACCUGGGUUCAGGUGAUUCUCCUGCCUCAGCCUCCUGAGUAGCUGGGAUUACAGGCACCUGCCACCAUGCCCAGCUCACUUUUUUUUAUUUUUAGUAGAGACAGGGUUUCACCAUGGUGGCCAGGCUGGUUUUGAACUCCUGACCUCAAGUGAUCUGCCCGCCUCAGCCUCCCAAAGUGCUAGGAUUACAGGCAUGAGCCACCUCCUCCUCUCCCUUCUCUGCUCCUUAAGCACUCCUCUUUUUGUGUGUGUGUGUGUGUGUGUAGAGACAGAGCCUCACUCUGUCACCUAGCUGGAGUGCAGUGGUGCUAUCACGGCUCACUGCAGCUUUGAACUCCGGGGCUCAAGCUAUCCUCCCACCUCAGCCUCCCAAGUAGCUAAGACUACAGACACAUACCACCAUGCCCAGCUGAUUUUUUUUAUUUUUGUAGAGGCAGGGCCUCACUAUGUUUCCCAGGCUGGUCUCAAACUCCUGGCUUCAAGUGAUCUUCCUGCCUCGGCCUCCCAAAGUUUUGGGAUUACGAUCAUGAGCCACCACACCCCGUCUCCCAGCAAUUUCCAAGUACAAGUCAAGGGUUCCAUUGGCAGCUCACUGAAAGACACUGCGUUUAGGUGAUGGCAUUAGCUGUGCAACACUGGGCUUUGAUGAAAGCACCCUCUUUCAGAUCUUCUCUCAGGCCUGUUCAUCCCUUCCAAGUUCAGCUUAGAAGAUACUGGGCCACCUAAUGAGUUGUCAGAAGAGCGAACAAUGGAAAUGAAGGUGCACAUCCCUCUCUCGGGUCCGGUUGCUGCAUCUGAUAUAAGCCACUGUCUCUGAUGGGUAUCUGCCCUUUCACACACGCUUCCUUGCUGGCCAGUGCAAAUGUUCUAUAUUUGAGUCAAACAUAGAAGACGACACGGCAGAACUUCUUGGAAUAAAGAGGUCUUUGGCGGACUCUGGCUCUACCCUGUCUCUCUCUCUCUGCCACCGUCCCCUCCCUGGUAAGGGAGGUAGGGACAGUGGGAAAAUCAUUAAGCAGCAGCAUCUGGACCUGAUUAAUUAACUAGCUGGAGCAUCUGCAAACGUGUCAGGCCUGAGCCUAGGACAAAGUCCUGUGAGCAGGUUUGUGUUCAGGAAGGGAACCGGCUGUUACAUUUUAUAAGACAAAUAUUAUCUGUUCUUCUUCCAGGAUGCUUGUUAUUAAAAGCUGGAUUUAAUAGAAGAAUUAAAAGGGCUUGUUUCACUUGACAUUUCAUCCACUAAAGACCUGAGGGGGGAAAAAAAACCCCAGUGCCUGAUGAUCGGGAGCUUGUCUGUCAAGUUCCUUCUCUGUUUUGCUUUCAUUGUUUUCCAUUGACUGGUUUUUGCACCAAAUGUUAAAGUCAUAAGAUGCUGAAGAUUUCCCAGUUACAGGAAUCUUUUCAAGGACUAUUUCAGAGACCGCAAUGUGCAAGAGAUGCUCAUUGCUAAGUAAAUAUCACACUAAAAAUCCAGAUCUUCCUCCUUCCGCCGCUGACAUACAGGUAGUGGAGGAAGCAAAAAAGGACCCAUUCUCAGGCCCAUUUGUGUUCGGACUGGCUACCGGCUCCCUUCAGAAGUCGACGCCAUUUUAUCCUAAAGACACUGUCAGGGCUGACUUUUAAAUGCUCUUUUGAUGUCAAGAUUCACACGGAUUUGAUGAUCGUUUUCUACACUUAGGGCCCUGUCGCUCUUCUCUUAUAUUACCCCAUCAAGUUGGUACUUCAUAAAGCCUGAAUCAUCAUUACUAUCAUCUUAAUUGCUAGGCGGGUUUGGGUGUAAAUCCAGGUCUGGAGGAUAAAAUCCCUGGGGAAUUCCCAGGUGCGAAGGGAGUGGCCCAGACUGGGGAUUCAGCAGCAGGCUGUGAACUACCUGAUCAAUAAAUAGCACGUGGACUACACGAGUACUAUCUGUGAUUUAAAGAUAAGAUCUCCAUAAUCAGGAGAUGGGAAGGGGAUACAGCUGUGUUCUGGUUCAGAGCCUCCGAAAUCUCACUUGUGUGAGUCGCUGCUACUUAAUAGCACCUCAGGUCAAAGACAGGCCGAGUUAAAACACUCUGUGAGACUAGGAGGUGGUAUUCUGUUCCUUAUUUAAAAGACAGAGACCUUGGAAGAUUUAGCCAAAUAGGCAAAAAAGUAUGAGAUUAGUGAAAGGGAACAAACAUAAUCUAAAUUGAUCCCUAAUUAGGGCCACCACAUAACAUACAGGAAGUAUUAUAUAAAGAAAUAAUAUGUUAAAAUAUUCAGUAAAAAGAUGUUCUGUAUUUGGGACAAGCUUCUACUGAAAAGAAAUUAUUUGUUGAUUAUCUGAAAUACAAACCUAACUGGGUGUUCUGCAUUUUUAUUUGCUAAAUCUGACAGUGCUGCACCAGAUUUGAACCAGUAUGAUUUUCAGAGACAGGAGACUGAAAUUCUAGAAUUUUCCACUGACAGUGGACAUUAGGCAGGUAACGUUUUAAGUUUCCAUCCGUGUGCAGAUGGGAACUAUGCAUUAAGGUCAUUCUGCAUGAAAUAUCUGCAUUUAUGAAUUUUUUAAAAAAAUAUUGUUUUACCACUUUUACUGCAUAUACAAUUAUCUAAAUCUCCAAAAAUGAAAGAACCAUUUCUAAGUAGAAGGCCUUAGAAAAGAUAUGCAGAUAACAAGAGUUAAAUACUUACAUAUCAAAUUUAAUUAGCUCAAACCCUUAAAAACAGUUUAAUUACUUUUGCUUUAAAAUGCUCCACCAUAUUUUGCCACAGUCCAAAUUUAGAAAAUUAGUGGAAAGGUAACAGACACCUAAACUUUCUCUUAACAAGUCAACUUAUCAUAAAUUUGGAAUUUUUCAAGUUCAAAAUAACUAGGGUUUAUUAUUCUUAUACUUUACUGAAGACAACUAACUCUCUCCCAGUGAUUUCUUUCUCUUUUCCCUUCUGAUUACAACAAAAAUCCAGCUACCUAAAAUAGGCUUAUUCCUCAAAAGGAAACAAAACUGCCGAGUUCUAUGACAAUAAUACUAAUCAAAAGUCCAUUUUAAUUGUUCCGGGCCCUCAUAGUGUAUUUGAUCUGUCUCUGUGGGCAUCAGGAUGACUGGGCUAAGCUGUGGGGGCCUCCUCUCCACUCUGGAGCAGUUUUGCAUUUCAACUUUGAAAAAUGAAAAACCUGAAUGCACCUAGGUUCCUAACUUGGGAAGAAAGUGCUGAAAUAGAUUUUGUUUAAAAUAAAAGAGCUCUAAAAAUCUACAGAGUAACUCUUUUGAGACAAGCGAAUACAUGUUUUAGCAUCCAAGUGGGAUAUAGUCAUUAACAUCCUCCUUCAAAGACAGUCUAGUCAAUGUAUCUGCUGCAGCAAAAUAUUUGGGAUUUGGGCAAUGCAUUUUGGAUCUGAAUAUUCCCUAGGUUCUGCCAAGAUAGCACCUAC
rnacentral:lncRNA from 1 species